UAUGGCCCUAUCACAUUGAAACACCAGUUCUCAUAUGAUCACCAAAGGUAAGCAACAUCAAGCCUAGUCAGUACCUAGAUGGGUGACAGCUUGGAAAUAACAGGUGCUGUAAG